GGGCUCACACAAGCGGUGGAGGAUGUGGCUUAAUUCGAGGCUACGCGAAGAACCUUAUCCUAGUCUUGACAUGUAUGGAUUAACCCUGUGAAAGCAGGGCCACGCCUUCGGGUGGAACAUACACAGGUGCUGCAUGGCUGUCGUCAGCUCGUGUCGUGAGAUGUCGCGUUAAGUCGCUUAACGAGCGCAACCCCUAUCGUUAGUUGCCAGCGAGUAAUGUCGGGAACUCUAACGAAACUGCCAGUGCAAACUGUGAGGAAGGUGGGGAUGACGUCAAAUCAUCACGGCCCUUACGUCCUGGGCUACACACGUGCUACAAUGGCCGGUACAGAGAGCAGCCACUUCGCAAGAAGGAGCG
rnacentral:rRNA from 1 species